GGAAGAGAUAAGUGCUGAAAGCAUCUAAGCACGAAACUUGCCCCGAGAUGAGUUCUCCCUGAGACUUAGAGUCUCCUGAAGGAACGUUGAAGACGACGACGUUGAUAGGCCGGGUGUGUAAGCGCAGCGAUGCGUUGAGCUAACCGGUACUAAUGAACCGUGAGGCUUAACCUUACAACGCCGAAGCUGUU
rnacentral:rRNA from 1 species